rnacentral:misc_RNA from 1 species
UUCCGUAGGUGAACCUGCGGAAGGAUCAUUAAAAAAUGGUACUCUAUUUGUGAGUGCAUUAAUAAUCCAUCCUACCCUUUGUGAAUUUGUUGUAUGAAAUAAUUUUUUUUAAAAAAAAUUAUUGAAUGUCCUUACCCUGUUGAAAGUUUGGUCGUAAGACUUGGAUUUUUCUCAGGGAUAGUCAAUAAUUUUUUUAAAAAGACUUUUUUUGAAUAAAACUUUUCGUAUUCAUUUGUCUAAAUUAUUUUAUAAUAUAAAAACAACUUUUGGCAAUGGAUCUCUUGGUUCUCGCAACGAUGAAGAACGCAGCAAAAUGCGAUAAGUAGUGUGAAUUGCAGAAUACGUGAAUCAUCGAAUCUUCGAACGCAUAUUGCACUUUUUUAGUUUACUAAAAAAGUAUGUCUGUUUGAGUAUCAGUAAAAUAUUCUCAUAAAACUAUUGUUUUAUGGUUAUGAGCGUUUUACAACGAUAACAAGUUGUUUCACUUUAAAUUUUUUAAAAUUUGAAUUUUUCUAAUUUUAAAUUAAAAUCGGAUAAAUUUUCCUGUAAAAAGGAAUAAUUAAACAAUUUUAAAUUGAAUUUAGAAAAUCCAAAAUAAAGGAAGAUUUAUUUACAAAAUAACUUGAUCUCAAAUCAGAUAAGAGUACCCGCUGAACUUAAGCAUAUCAAUAAGCGGAGGAAAAGAAACUAACAAGGAUUCCCUUAGUAACGGCGAGUGAAGCGGGAAGAGCUCAAAUUUGAAAUCUUCAAGGUUUUACCUUGACGAAUUGUAGUUUAAAGAAGUGUUUUCUGUUGAAGUUUCGGUAAAAGUUCUUUGGAAUAGGACAUCAUAGAGGGUGAGAAUCCCGUAUUUGACCGUUAUUUUCAGCUGUGUGAUACACUUUCAAAGAGUCGGAUUGUUUGGGAAUGCAGUCCAAAAUGGGUGGUAAAUCUCAUCUAAAGCUAAAUAUUGGCGAGAGACCGAUAGCGAACAAGUACCGUGAGGGAAAGAUGAAAGAACUUUGAAAAGAGAGUUAAACAGUACGUGAAAUUGUCAAAAGGGAAGCGUUCGACACCAGUGUUGUUUUCUCGAAAAUCAAUUAAAAAGAGCUUGAUUUUGUGUUGUAUUGACCUUAAAGCUUUCUCACUUUUUCAUGCUUUUUUAAUGCACUUUUCGUUUAACAAGUCAACAUCAGUUUCUUUUGUUGUAAAAGGUCAUUGGAAGGUGGCUUUCUCUUCGGAGAAAGUGUUUAUGCCUUUGAUCUCUGCAAUCGGAGAGACUGAGGUCUGCAGCGUAGAUCCUUCGGGUUAGAUCAUUUGUGCUAAGCUAUAGCUUUUCAUAGACAACUGUUGACUAUGUUUAGUCUUGUACUUACCGCUUAUGCAUUUUACCUACGCUUAGGAUGUUG